GAUGAAACAUCAAUGAACUAAUCCAAAAGGGAAAUAAAAACCCAAAUAUUCAGAUUUGAAUGUUACAGAAUCCACCCAAAUAAACUUCUAAAAAAGAGAAAUAGGAAAAAAAUGAAGAAAAGAAACUUACAAAGGCACUCUUGGAGCGUCGAUGGGCAGACCUGCCAACAGAAAAUCUGGAAAAAAUACCAACCAUGUUUUUCGUUACGAACAAAUUGUGGGUAACCGAUAUAGCAUUAGUAAGAUUUCAGAAUAG
rnacentral:lncRNA from 1 species